rnacentral:rRNA from 1 species
GAUGAACGCUGGCGGCGUGCCUAAUACAUGCAAGUCGAGCGAACAGACGAGGAGCUUGCUCCUCUGACGUUAGCGGCGGACGGGUGAGUAACACGUGGAUAACCUACCUAUAAGACUGGGAAACUUCGGGAAACCGGAGCUAAUACCGGAUAAUAUAUUGAACCGCAUGGUUCAAUAGUGAAAGACGGUUUUGCUGUCACUUAUAGAUGGAUCCGCGCCGCAUUAGCUAGUUGGUAAGGUAACGGCUUACCAAGGCGACGAUGCGUAGCCGACCUGAGAGGGUGAUCGGCCACACUGGAACUGAGACACGGUCCAGACUCCUACGGGAGGCAGCAGUAGGGAAUCUUCCGCAAUGGGCGAAAGCCUGACGGAGCAACGCCGCGUGAGUGAUGAAGGUCUUCGGAUCGUAAAACUCUGUUAUUAGGGAAGAACAAAUGUGUAAGUAACUAUGCACGUCUUGACGGUACCUAAUCAGAAAGCCACGGCUAACUACGUG